rnacentral:rRNA from 1 species
GAUGAACGCUGGCGGCGUGCCUAAUACAUGCAAGUCGAGCGAACAGACGAGGAGCUUGCUCCUCUGACGUUAGCGGCGGACGGGUGAGUAACACGUGGAUAACCUACCUAUAAGACUGGGAUAACUUCGGGAAACCGGAGCUAAUACCGGAUAAUAUAUUGAACCGCAUGGAUCAAUAGUGAAAGACGGUUUUGCUGUCACUUAUAGAUGGAUCCGCGCCGCAUUAGCUAGUUGGUAAGGUAACGGCUUACCAAGGCAACGAUGCGUAGCCGACCUGAGAGGGUGAUCGGCCACACUGGAACUGAGACACGGUCCAGACUCCUACGGGAGGCAGCAGUAGGGAAUCCUCCGCAAUGGGCGAAAGCCUGACGGAGCAACGCCGCGUGAGUGAUGAAGGUCUUCGGAUCGUAAAACUCUGUUAUUAGGGAAGAACAAAUGUGUAAGUAACUAUGCACGUCUUGACGGUACCUAAUCAGAAAGCCACGGCUAACUACGUG